CAUGAACUGGAACUCCCCAUUCCUCGUCGUGAUAAGCAAUAUAGAUGGGAUCUAUUCAUCAAAAGCAACAUUGAGACUCAGCAACACAAUUUGCUUUUUGCUUUUUAAGGUAAAACACAUUCGUUCAACUAAGAUUAGAGUUUUUUCCCAGUAACUGUUGUUAAUAUUUGAAAUAACUUUCAAAAAUCCAAUUCUAAUCAAGAACGAUAUUAAAAAUACGCAAUUGAAAUAUUCACUGCGAAUUACCAGAAUUGGCUGUGAUAAAGCUGCAUCUCUUCUCCUCCUCAGUUGGCUUUGGUGUAAGACCAGUGGUUGAAGGAUCAAGAGGAAAAACUCUUUCAAACUUAGCAGACUUUGAUCUUCCAUAAUGGGCAAUCUUCAUUUUCCUCUGCGCCUGCUGCAGUGCCAUCUGU
rnacentral:lncRNA from 1 species